ensembl:lincRNA
GCUCGAAAAGUAUAAGGUAACUAAUGAAACUAACGUGAAGCAUGUUUGAUGACCACUUUAUAAACACAACACCUUGGAUAAUUUAGGAGCUUUUUAUUGUAAUAAAAUACCUUUUGAAUGACACAGAUUUUUAUGUUGGCUAGGUGAUGACAGUAAGUAACGUUACUGUGAUUUGUGAUCUUUCUGGGGUGUUAACUGUAAAGCAAUGGAUAAUUGCGUGAAAAUCAAACUAAAAGAAUGCAAUCUUGAGGAGUUAAUCCCCACAUUUGAAGCACAGGAACGAACCUUUCCUCGUUUUUAGGUCAAUUUGAAUACAAUUCAGAGGGGUGGCAUGGGGGCGCAGUGGGUAGUGCUGUCGCAUCACAGCAAGAUGGUCGCUGGUUUGAGCCUUGGAUGGGUUUCCCCUCCACAGUCCAAUGACAUGCGGUGUAGCUGAAUUGGAUUGGGACCAAUAUUGCUGAGUAUCUUCAUCCAUUGAAUUCAAGAAUCUAUUGAGUUUCCUCAUGUUCUCAUCCUUGGAGACCACCACUUCUUUCAAGCCUUUGCUCACGUGCUGUGCUAUUUAUUAUUGCAAAGUACAUUACUUGCCAAAGUGGACGUUUGCUAUAAAGCAUUCUACAUCUUUGGUGUGAACUACCCCAAGCAGUGUUCCCUGGUGUGGCAGACUGUGGUUUAUGGACAUCCUGGGGAGGAGACACUAGCAGUAAGGGUUCUGCUAGCAUUAAUUUUUGCUGACA